rnacentral:rRNA from 1 species
AUGGACGCACGGAUGAGGCUGAUAAUCCAGGCAGCAGCACUGAUUAGUGUGAUUCAGGCAUGGGUCAUGUUCAUGCACCAGAGAGCUGUUCGUCGUGCUGGGAGACCUUUGCUCCGCUAUGGUCCAUUGUUUUCUCGGGAACAGGAGAGGAUCCAAAAACUGAACUACAUCUACAACUGCAAUGACGUCGAGGCUCUGUGGAUGCUUAGAAUGAAAAGGGCACCAUUUGCCAGGCUUGUCGAGACCUUCAGGAGCAGGGAGCUGUUACAAGAUAGCAUCAACACCAGUGUAGAAGAGCAAGUGGGGAUGUUCCUCCAUGUUGUUGGCCAUAACCAGAGGUUUAGGGUCAUUCACAACACGUUCGGGAGGUCAAUGGAGACCAUCUCUAGGUACUUCAAGCAGGUGCUUUAUGCUGUUGGGGAGCUUAGAGGAGAGAUGAUCAGGAGACCAUCAGGCCAGACACCAUACUUCAAGGUGAGCAUUGACAAUAUACACUUUUCAAGGCUUGAUAUGCUUGUAUUGUUCAAGUUGAGAACUAACACAGGCUUGUGA